GACGAACGCUGGCGGCGUGUCUAAUACAUGCAAGUCGAACGCACUCUCGUUUAGAUUGCCGGAGUUUGCUCCUGAUUGAUCAACAUUUGAGUGAGUGGCGGACGGGUGAGUAACACGUGGGUAACCUGCCCUAAAGUGGGGGAUAACAUUUGGAAACAGAUGCUAAUACCGCAUAAAACCUAACACCGCAUGGUGUAGGGUUGAAAGAUGGUUUCGGCUAUCACUUUAGGAUGGACCCGCGGUGCAUUAGUUAGUUGGUGAGGUAAAGGCUCACCAAGACCGUGAUGCAUAGCCGACCUGAGAGGGUAAUCGGCCACACUGGGACUGAGACACGGCCCAGACUCCUACGGGAGGCAGCAGUAGGGAAUCUUCCACAAUGGACGAAAGUCUGAUGGAGCAACGCCGCGUGAGUGAAGAAGGUUUUCGGAUCGUAAAACUCUGUUGUUGGAGAAGAAUGUAUCUGAUAGUAACUGAUCAGGUAGUGACGGUAUCCAACCAGAAAGCCACGGCUAACUACGUG
rnacentral:rRNA from 1 species